GCUGCAUAGCAUCUGCGUGGGUGUGGGAUAGGGUUGGAUCCAUUCUGCAAAGAUCACAGAUCAACCUCUGACCCCAGCGCCACCCCACACGUACAGUAACACGGAAGUAAACGUCCCCUCUGGUUCCCCUUUCUCAAAUCUGCUUCUAGCCAAGCCCGGCAGGGUCAAGGCUUCCUCUACGCCUGGGCCACAAGCGUUUGUUCUUUUUUAUCGUCCUCACGCAGGCACCGAGGGGCCUUUAGCCGCAGUGGGUUCCUGAGACUGCAGUUUUCAUUGUGAUAACCUGACCUCCAGAGGCCUUGCCCUUCAGUCUGUUUAAUGAAGCGCUGAGCCAGAAAGGGUCUUUGUUCUCUCAUCGCGCUCUCCACACCGUUUCACAACGCACCCGAUAAAGAGCUUCUGUGGGAUUUGUCUAAAACAAGUGCAUUUUGAGGAGUUGCAGGACGCUUGAGAGAACAAUGUCAUCAAAGAUGUGGGGAACAUGUUUCGAUUGUCGAGUUAGAAAGCGCAAGGUGUGGUGAGAUGUGAGGGUGCAACCUUCGCAGUAUGCAAAAUGUGGGAUUUAAAUAUUCUCAUAAAAAGAAAGCCACCCCAAUAGAUUGAGUGGAGGUACUUCACUUUUGAAUUAAGAAACACAAUGAGUCUGAGGAUGCGGUUAGGGCUCCUGCUCAGGGAUGGGAGAUGAAUGCGAACCCCAGAGAUUGUGUGAUGAGAACUCCUGGAUCCUGCAAAGCUCUCUGGAAAGCCUGCGAACCAUGUGAGAAGCAAUUCCCUAAGAGGAUCACAGGAUGCCUGCCCGUUGGCAAGAUAGUGUGAGUUGUUUCUUAGUGCUGUUCAGUGAAAGAACAAGUUCCCAACCAACACGCCCAGAGUCUGUCCUCUGGAAACCUGCAAGCACCCAGAAGAAACAUUUAAAGGAAGAGCUAGCUCAAUCAAGCAUGAGGUCCGUGGAGAUCGUGUAUCUGAGAGACUACAGAAGGAGACCGGGCCGCUGCCUACUGGUGAGAACACUAAUUCACUGAGGUUGCUUGUCUCAUGACCUCCCAGGCAGAUGGAGUUCUAUGUCUGUAAGAACUCCACCGCUCCACUAUCGCUGCCGUCCGCCCCUUAUUGAGUUGUCGCAUGCUGCACUCUGGGUGUCAAAGUUCAGCAUGGAGGCGCUUCAGCCCUUCAAUUUCAGGUCUUUCGCUUUAGAGUGAACAGCUUGAAUGACGCAGGAAAGGUCAAAGCCCCUUUGCAGGCAGUGUACGUGGCUAGCCCGCAGGGAGCCACCACAGAGGCCAGCCGCGGCUUCAGAGCUUUUCCUUGUGUGGACUCAGUGACUGUUGUCAGAUGUACCAACCAUUUGUAAACUGCCCAGUCAGUCAUUUACAGGCUCGACUCUAGUUCUAACGCCCUCAUCCCGGGCCUCUGAGCAGAGUCACCUUCAUCGGGUGCGUCUCCAUCCCACCGUGGCAACCCUAGUAGGUGUAGACAGUGUAAAUGGUGGCUUCUCUCAGUCACACGAUUCCACCGUGAUGCCGCUGAAAUACCGACGGCAGGGACAGACUUCCCAUAGCUGAAUCUCAGUCGUCUUCAAAAGGGAAAAAAGCAGUCAUAUCUUCCAGAGGAUGUGGCAACCAACAGUGCUCCUUCCAGAAGCUCCCUGAAGGAUGGAUUCCCAAGAGCAGAACUCUUCAUUCUGCACAGCCUCCGUGAAGAAGGUGCAGAGGAGACUAGCUGAUCCUUGCCGUGAGAGGGAAUUUAGGAAAGAGACAGACCAUCCCUACAGUGUGUGUAGAAAUUCCAGUGGGUAAGUACAUUCAGCUUCAUUUCUCAUCCUGGUUCCAAAAGUACACAACACAGGUGCCUGGGUGUUGGUGAUCAUGACCACAUGACACAGAGAGGACAGUGCAUGGCACUAGCCUUCACCUCCCUGGAAGGAAUUUGGAGAGAGACGCAUGAGAAAAGGUGAGGUCUCCAGCUUUCCUGCCUGGAAGCUUGGUAUUUAUCAGCCUACAGUGUUGAAGGAGCUAGAUCAAAAGGAGACCAAGGAACAACUCGGUAUUCCAAGCUCUUUUAAGGGUGAAGAAAGCUUUCCUAAGAUCCAAAUGAUUAUAAUUUCCAUAUGCAAUCCACCUCUACGAGCCUUAGGAACAGGAAUCAAAGCAAAAAUUUUAGGAGCAUAAAUAAUUAAUUUUCCCAAAUUACAAACUUAGCAAAUCUCCAAGUCCUCAAAUUGAGCUAUUUAAAUGUGGUAAGUAUAUUAUUUCUCUCAUCUGAAGGCUGAGGCAUUGUGUAUAUUACCAUUCCCAGCACCUCUAUCUGCUGAGCCAUCUCUCUGGACUCAGCCUGUUACUUGUAAGGCAGCGUCCUCCUCACCCUGAGGUUUAUGUUUGUUUCCACGAGUCUGGAAGCCACGGAGCCACAGCAACCCUCCUGCAUGUCCAUCUUCUCAGGUGUGUCCUGGCAUCCCCUCAAGUCAGCUAGCGCCACAAGGACUGUUAGUCACUGAGUCAUCUCCCCAAUCCAUGAGCUCAUAGGAUCUCUUCCUAUACAUGAAUAUUUUGGUUGUAUCUUUGGGUAAUUCAUAGUAGUUCACCUGCAUAUCUCUAUCCCCUGCUUUUCUCAGUUUUGACUGACAUGUUCUUUUCUCUAGGAUGUCAUCUGGACUUAAAUGAUUCUCACUUGAGUUAACGGUUGGUUUCUGAAGAGUUUGACUUACCUGUAAUCUUCAGGGCUGUGAUGUCACGGGCCCCAUACAAUGAACUUAAGCAUGGUGGAUGACCUUCUCAGGGAACUCCAGCUCUCUGUGGAGUAUAACUAUCAACCACCAGACGAUUGAUUCUUUGAUCAAAGAGGGGAAGCCCAAGGCACUGUCCUGCCCAUGGUCUCCCAGAUGCUAAAUGUGAAAUCUCUCUCCUCUGUUUCUCACAGCAGUAACUAAUUUGAUUAAAUUAUAUGCAUUAAAAAUCACCAAGAAUCCUCUCCUGAUCACUACACAGUAAGCAAGCCUGGUCAUUUUAAUGAAUUUUAAUACGUGUGAAUGACUGGAUUUCCCCCUUUGUAUCCAGGGAGGGGCAUAGUGCAAAUGUUGAGAAGUUGGGACCAGACAUUGACAGCCUCGGGGCCUCGUCACACCGAACUCUAAAUCAAGGGCUCUCAAUCGUUUUCCUAAUUAGAACAUUAUUGGCUUUCUUUUUCACAACGGUAUGGUUUGAAAAGCUCUCUCCCAAAGCAUUGCAUGCCUAGUACAGAGACCCCACCCUUACCAGGGCUGCUCAGGGCUCUCAUCAACCCGCUUCUACCACAGGCUUUUAGAUUGGGGAGGGGAGGCUGGGAUUAGCAGAAGGAGACGGAGAACAAGGUAAGGAGAUCUCCCUAAUUCCACCCAUUCUGGACUAUUUCAUAGCUGUUGCUAUUGGGUAAUGUUUCGAGGUUAUUCUUUUCUCAAUGUAUAGUUAAAUUAACUUAAUUUCUCACAUGUGUUCCUGAACUGUCAGAGGCUCAAAUGAACAAAGACCAAACAGACAUUCCAGGUGCAACGCACAGGUCCACACAGGGGUUUUCACGGGAAAACAAUGCCUACAGACCCGUCGGGCAAGUCUGAAAACCAUCAUCAUACGCAAGAUCUGCUCCAGUGGAAAGCAAAUUUUCACAACCUUGUAAAUGGCCCCAAGCGCCAGUGUGGCGAUCAACAUCAACUCAAAAAGCAACACAGAGCAAAAAACCGACUGAAGGAGUAUGAUUCUAUUAAUAGCACCAAUUAGAGAGUUUUACAUGAGAUAGGACAGGAUACUGAGUUAUUUGUUAAUUAAAUAUAUCAAUCUUUUGGUUUGAAAACUACUAAGAAUAGUGUAGAAUAACCCCUUCCAGUUCGCUGACUUUCUGAAAGUCAUUGGGGGUGGUGAUAAUUUUGGACAAAUAAAACCUUCAUUGAUCCUAAAAAAUUGGACAUUAUUCUUCCCUAAAACUUAUUCACCCACUGCAGCUAAAUUAUGUGAUUUAAUCUCUUCUUUUUACCAGGAUCACAUCUGCCUUCUCUAUAUCUGAUGGCAUAGUUUUAAAUUUGACACUUAAAUCUUUCCGUAACUCAAAGAUGCAGGCGAUGAGUAGAUGCCUCCGUGGCUGAGAGCACUGGCUGCUCUUCCAGAGAACCUGGGCCGAGUCCCACCACCCACAUCGCA